rnacentral:rRNA from 1 species
AGGGAAUCUUCGGCAAUGGGGGCAACCCUGACCGAGCAACGCCGCGUGAGUGAAGAAGGUUUUCGGAUCGUAAAGCUCUGUUGUAAGAGAAGAACGAGUGUGAGAGUGGAAAGUUCACACUGUGACGGUAACUUACCAGAAAGGGACGGCUAACUACGUGCCAGCAGCCGCGGUAAUACGUAGGUCCCGAGCGUUAUCCGGAUUUAUUGGGCGUAAAGCGAGCGCAGGCGGUUAGAUAAGUCUGAAGUUAAAGGCUGUGGCUUAACCAUAGUACGCUUUGGAAACUGUUUAACUUGAGUGCAGAAGGGGAGAGUGGAAUUCCAUGUGUAGCGGUGAAAUGCGUAGAUAUAUGGAGGAACACCGGUGGCGAAAGCGGCUCUCUGGUCUGUAACUGACGCUGAGGCUCGAAAGCGUGGGGAGCAAACAGGAUUAGAUACCCUGGUAGUCCACGCCGUAAACGAUGAGUGCUAGGUGUUGGAUCCUUUCCGGGACUCAGUGCCGCAGCUAACGCAUUAAGCACUCCGCCUGGGGAGUACGACCGCAAGGUUG